GUGAGGAAUUUUCCGCAAUGGGCGAAAGCCUGACGGAGCGACGCCGUGUGUGGGAUGAAGUCUUUCGGGAUGUAAACCACUGUCAGAGGGGAAGAUAUUGACGGUACCCUCAGAGGAAGGCCCGGCUAACUACGUGCCAGCAGCCGCGGUAAUACGUAGGGGCCAAGCGUUGUCCGGAAUCACUGGGCGUAAAGGGCGCGUAGGCGGCCUAGCAAGUCAGAUGUAAAAUCUACGGGCUCAACCCGUAGCCGCAUCUGAAACUGCUGGGCUAGAGAAUGGUAGAGGAAAGCGGAACUUCCGGUGUAGCGGUGAAAUGCGUAGAUAUCGGAAGGAACACCAGUGGCGAAGGCGGCUUUCUGGGCCAUUUCUGACGCUGAGGCGCGAAAGCUAGGGGAGCAAACGGGAUUAGAUACCCCUGUAGUCC
rnacentral:rRNA from 1 species